GGAGGCUUAGCUCAGUUGGCAGAGCAGCAGACUCUUAAUCUGCGGGUCGUGGGUUCGAGCCCCACAGCCUCUACCA
rnacentral:tRNA from 1 species